rnacentral:rRNA from 1 species
CGAGACCUCAGGUCAGACGGGGCUACCGCGCUGAGUUUAAGCAUAUAAUAUAGCGGAGAAAAGAAACUAACAAGGAUUCCCUUUAU